CCUACGGGGGGCAGCAGUAGGGAAUCUUCCGCAAUGGGCGAAAGCCUGACGGAGCAACGCCGCGUGAGCGAAGAAGGUCUUCGGAUUGUAAAGCUCUGUUGUUAGGGAAGAACAAGUAUCGUUUGAAUAAGGCGGUACCUUGACGGUACCUGACGAGAAAGCCCCGGCUAACUACGUGCCAGCAGCCGCGGUAAUACGUAGGGGGCAAGCGUUGUCCGGAAUUAUUGGGCGUAAAGGGCACGCAGGCGGUCUCUUAAGUCUGAUGUGAAAGCCCACGGCUUAACCGUGGAGGGCCAUUGGAAACUGAGAGACUUGAGUGCAGGAGAGGAGAGCGGAAUUCCUGGUGUAGCGGUGAAAUGCGUAGAUAUCAGGAGGAACACCCGUGGCGAAGGCGGCUCUCUGGCCUGUAACUGACGCUGAGGUGCGAAAGCGUGGGGA
rnacentral:rRNA from 1 species